GUUCCUUCUGGGUACUGGGGUCACGACACCCGCUCCCGGGUGAAGGGAGGAGGACAGUGAGCAAAUCAGCAGCGAAGAAGGAGACGUCUCAAGGUAAGUGUGAGUAAAGAAUAGAACAGGAGAAAGGGCAUAGGGGUUGAGUGACCACUCUUUGUUAGGACGUCAUGACAUUUGUGCUGACAGCUAAAGCCUGAGAAAGGGCCUUGUGAAGAUCUGGGGGAGAACCCAUUCCUGGCUGAGGGCCGAGCAAGUGCAAAGGGCCUGAGGCAUGAAUGACCUUGGAGGUUAAUGAGAAGUUCAAAUAAAUGAGUCAAACCUGGUUAUAGGUCAGGCUCUGGGGAUGGGUGGGGGCUGGUAGGGGGAGGGAUGGACGGAUGGACGCUAUUCCCCCUGUCCCAGCUUAGCCCACAGGCCCCAGAAGGAGGCCCUAUGUGUCAGUUAACAGCCUCUGGUUUCUUUCCCAAAUCCAACCUCACGUGGGGAGGCUGAUUCCCCAAGAGAGCCAGCUGCUUGGUGUCUGUCUGGAUUUGCCAUUAGGACAGGAAUACUCCUAAUUUAAUUUCUCCUUUGUGUCUCUCUGAGUGACUAACUCCAUGAGUCGUCUCCUAAGAAGAACGUGCCGGAGAUGAAAAACAGCAGAUUUUAAUGAAAAUCGAGAGCUGCAUACAGACCUUUGGCAGCCUCCAACGCUGGGGCGCUGACCCCUUCUGGCCCAGGGCCGUGCACACAGAUGGUGCUCAAUGUAUGCUCACUAGGCCGUGCGUGACCUCACCGGUCAGGAUGCUCUGUUUCUAGUCCCCCUUUGGCUCUCCUGCUGCAAAGGCACACUAGAGGAGGGCGGGCCAGCUGGGGAGGUGGCAGGACAGAGGUCGCUCAUCAGAGGGAGUCAGGCCAGGCAUCCAGCCAACUCAGUAGUGGCUGUGUGCAUUUCCUGGAGCGGCACCUGACAUCUGCCACCCCAGCCCGGAUUUUCUGGAGCACCUACAAUAUCCCGGAUACUGCGUCUACCCACUCGGCCCACACGGAUUGUGGUUGCUGCCUCUACGCGACCCCAGGACACUUCCCACGUCCCUUCCUUAGGAUCAGCGGUGACAGGGCUCCUAGGAGACAAGCCCCAACCAGAAUGGUCUUGGGGGCACCAAUGGUCGAUCCGUCCAUUCUCCCACUCUUGACCCCUUGGGACUCCCUGGGCCAGAGGAGCAAAGACUGGAAAUUUCCUCCCCAGGAGUUCAGCCUGCCUGCUCUUCUCAUUCUCCGGUUCUCAUCCUCACGGGACCCCAGGAACCCCAGGGCAACCAGGGCUGCAGCCCGCGGCUCCAAAGGGUAGUCAGUUCAGCUGCUGCUUCCUGCUCGGAGAUGUUUCCAGUGGCCCGACCAGCCGCCCCCAGCUUUCUUUCAUCUUUCAUCUGUUUGUUCCAAGAAAAAAAUGCAUCAUAGCAUCGCGACUCUGGGAGGGAGGCGCUGUAAUUGUCCUCAUUUUCCAAGUGAAUAAAUAGAAGUUCAAAGGAAUACUUUGUGCAAGGUCAUUGUAAGUGAUGUUGCCAGAUCUGCCUGUCUCUGGCAGCCAGAGAGCAUCCGGUGCCCAGAGCCAUUCCCGACCUGCUUUCUUUCUCUCCCAAAGAGAAUGGAAAGCUAAAACACUCAUCUCGUCAGACUUCCUUGCAGCUAGAAGUGACCAAGUGACCAGUUUUGGCCACCGACGUGUAAGCGAAAAGAACCAGGAAGAAGCUCUUGGAGCAAAUUCAGCCUUUCAAAUUUUGCCCUUUAAUUCUGUCUGGAGUCCAGGUAUGAUACCUGGAGGCGUAGCAGCCAUCUUGUAACCAUGAGGUCAAAUCCCCAUGCCAAGGAUGGCAGAGUAGGAGUGUAGAAAUAAUCUGGAUUUCUGAUGACAUCCAUGGGUAGCCCUCCCCAGGAUCCUUGUUUCAUGAUGCAAAGACAUUUCUUACUUAUUUCAUCCACCAUUUAUUGGAUUUGUAGCUUCUUAUGAGCAAAUAAAAAUAAUUGACCCCUGGCCUCCACA